UGAGUAUGAAAGAUGGUCGCGGGCGUAAGCCGUCCGAGGAAAGUCCGAGCUCCAUAGGGCAGGGUGCUGGAUAACGUCCAGCGAGGGUGACCUUAGGGAAAGUGCCACAGAAAGAAACCGCCUGCUUCGGCAGGUAAGGGUGCAACGGUGCGGUAAGAGCGCACCAGCAGUCAGGUGACUGGCUGGCUAGGUAAACCCCACCUGGAGCAAGAUCGAAUAGGGAAGUGAUGAAGCGGCCCGCUGAGUCUUCCGGGUUGUAUCGCUGGAGCCGACAGGCAACUGUCGGCCUAGAUAGAUGACCAUCACCGCCGACAGGCGGAACAAAACUCGGCUUAUUGAUUACUCAUGUG
rnacentral:RNase_P_RNA from 1 species